UGCUAGCUUGCUAGAACCUUACACACAGGUGCUGCACGGCUGUCGUCAGCUCGUGUCGUGAGAUGUUGGGUUAAGUCCCGCAACGAGCGCAACCCCUAUCUUUAGUUGCCAUCAUUGAGUUGGGCACUCUAAAGAGACUGCCGGUGUCAAACCGGAGGAAGGUGGGGAUGACGUCAAGUCCUCAUGGCCUUUAUGACCAGGGCUACACACGUACUACAAUGGCCGGUACAAAGGGCAGCGACACAGCGAUGUGAAGCGAAUCCCGAAAAGCCGGUCUCAGUCCGGAUUGGAGUCUGCAACUCGACUCCAUGAAGUUGGAAUCGCUAGUAAUCGCGGAUCAGCACGCCGCGGUGAAUACGUUCCCGGGCCUU
rnacentral:rRNA from 1 species